rnacentral:sRNA from 1 species
UAUUCUGCCCCACGGGGAAGGAUGAGAAGCUUCGACCAAGGUUCGACUCGAGCGAAGCGAUAGAACGUUGCCGCAGGCAACGGCCCGAAGGGCGAAGCGCUUUAGCGCCGAGUAAUCCUUCCCCCACCACUG